AGGAUUUGAUUAGGAUUUGUCUAAGAUUUGAUUUAGGAUUUAGGAUUGAUUAGGAUUUGAUUUAGAAUUUGGUUAGGAUUUGGUUUAAGAUUUAAAAUUUAAGAUUUAGUUAGGGUUUGAUUAAGAUUUCGUUUAGGAUUUAAAAUUUAAGGUUUAAUUAGGGUUUGAUUAGAAUUUGUCUAACAUUUGAUUUGGGAUUUAGAGUUUGUCUAGAAUUUGAUUGAAGUCUAUUAAGGUUUAAACUAGGAUUAAAUUAGAACUUAGUUGAGAUUUAUUUAAG
rnacentral:lncRNA from 1 species